AAAGGUUAUGUUUACUACGCAACGAGAUCGUCUGACCAUAAGUGGCUUGGCAAUUGGGUCGUCCACAAUGAUUCAGCGAUGGUUCAUAGUGGUGAGGAUAUUAUUCCUCUUUUAUGUUAUGACAUAAGAUCAGGCCCCACAAGAAGCAUUCCUUUGGGAGAUGUCUUAGGCUAGGCCGAUCAUGUAAAAAUAAAUAAUGAUUAAAAUAUUUAAUCGGCUAACCUUGGUUAGUGUGCAUACACAUUAUGAACAAUGAAGUAGUGGAGAUGAAAGUUACAGGAGACGAAUGAGCGCCGAGUUCUUGAGAGGAACGGUGAUAGCGGUGAUGCGUCAACAAAAGCCUUGAGGGAGAGUCUAGGUGAUACGAGUCCCCUGUAUUCAUGGAUGAGGUAUUCAGUUGGAUCAGACAGUUCUCACAGCGUAAACUAGACAAUCUCUGACAACCUCCUUUUGCAACAUUGGAACAUAUCGAUCAUAUAUUCUUGCGAUGAAUAAGUUGGUGCGUACAAAUCGGUUUGUUAUGGGACUUGUACUCUCAGUUAUUUCAGAAUAGUUUAUUGGGAGGAUAUUGGUGUAAGGAUGGAUGAACUGAACAUAGCAUUCAUAUAUUGAACUCGUGGAUAUUGACCCUCAUAUCCUGAGUUACAAACAUCAUUCAUCGUCUACAUUUAUGUAUGUGAUAACAUAGUAUGUAUAUUAUGUGUGUUAUGUCUGGAAGUGAUAUUUUGUAUAAUUCCAUGUUGUCAAUGAAAAAUAUUCAUUAGAUAUCUUACUCUAUUUCUUUCUGCUUGUAUUUCGGUAUAUGUCUUUGUCCAAAUGGACAAAUCAACACAGAUUCAGAGCUACCGAUUCUCGAUUUCCA
rnacentral:lncRNA from 1 species